rnacentral:lncRNA from 1 species
UUUGGAGCUGACGUGCCUCCUCACCCCCUCACCAAGAUACAUGUAUCGGAUCGGGUUGCCAACGAGGCGUUUGAGAUUUCCCCCAAAAAUAUGGCUUUAAGAGAAGGACUCUGAUAAGUGUCAUACAUGUGGCAUCAACACAUGACAACUCUAAAUUUUUUUCUAAUGACAAAUUACAGCUCGAGAUCGAGCAUUCAGAGUGUUCGAAUGAAAGCGAACUGGAAUCAGUUGGCCGAAAAGUAGCAUUAAGCAUUCAGAGUGUUUGAAUGAAAGCUAAUUGAAAUCAGCUGGCUGAAAAAUAGCGUUGUUGUAGUUGUAUUGAAUUAAUCCAUGAAAAUUAGUCUCUGCUGCCUAUAGGACAGACGGAAGGAACUCUUCAUGCCAACUUCCUUCUAGAAUCAGUGCAGGAGCAAGAAACUGGGCGCAGGACGAGGGGCCGAGGCCGACCCCGAGCCCGCAACCGCAGUCCAAAGACGGAGCCCACAAAAUCCUUUGAUCUCUGCCUGAUAAACCGCCCCCAGACCCAACAACACCACACAUCCCUAAAAAAAAAACACCACACGCGAGAGAAGACGACCGUAGUCCGCAGACGAGGAAGGGAUUAAAAAACUGUGCCCGUUUCAAAACGCUCGCUUGCGCGGAAGAAAAUCCCGCAGGCGAGGCGAGGCGAGGGUGCUUCGUCACCAAGGGAAGGGAAGGGAAGGCAGAGUCUGCCGCAUAUAACCAACGCUGCACCUGCACGCAGUCGCAGAAGAGCCGAACCGAAUCGAAUCGAAUCGGGGGAAUACCAAAAUCAAACCGCAACCAAUCCCCACCCCACCCUUUCCCUCCCUCACUCGCCCAGCCGCAGGCGCAGCGCAGGGCACCCAACCCACUUCCCUCGCAUCGCCACCCAACCCAAUCCAGGGCGGCACCGUCCCCGUGCGCGCAUUCUCGCGGUGGCCAUGACGGCGGCGCAGGCGCCGGAGCCGCNNNN